ACUCAUGAGAUCAUCUUAUUUGAUAGCUGUCUAUCUUUUUUAAUGAUAGUCAUAGGAGGACUCUAUAGAUGUAUUGCAGAGAAUUCAUGCUCAUAAUAUGCCUGAUAGGCAUUAUUAGGAUUGUCUUGUUUGAAUUCCUCUCUUCAACGAGAGGAGGAGUUGAUCUCCAUUUUUUAGGGGGAAAAAAAAAGAGAAAUAAAAUCAA
rnacentral:lncRNA from 1 species